UACGGAGGGGGCUAGCGUUAUUCGGAAUUACUGGGCGUAAAGCGCACGUAGGCGGAUCUGCAAGUCAGAGGUGAAAUCCCUGGGCUCAACCUUGGAACUGCCUUUGAAACUGCGGGUCUUGAGUUCGAGAGAGGUGAGUGGAAUUCCGAGUGUAGAGGUGAAAUGCGUAGAUAUUCGGAGGAACACCAGGGGCGAAGGCGGCUCACUGGCUCGAUGCUGACGCUGAGGUGCGAAAGCGUGUGGAGCAAACAGG
rnacentral:rRNA from 1 species